rnacentral:rRNA from 1 species
UACGGAGGUCUCAAGCGUUGUUCGGAUUCAUUGGGCGUAAAGGGUGCGUAGGUGGCGCUGUAAGUCGGGUGUGAAAUUUCGGAGCUUAACUCCGAAACUGCAUUCGAUACUGCGGUGCUUGAGGACUGGAGAGGAGACUGGAAUUCAUGGUGUAGCAGUGAAAUGCGUAGAUAUCUGGAGGAACACCGGUGGCGAAGGCGGCAUCCUGGACCAAUAUUGACGCUGAGGAGCGAAAGCCAGGGGAGCAAACGGG